rnacentral:tRNA from 1 species
AGGGUUGUAGUUAAGUAUAACAUUUGAAUUGCACUCAAAAAGUACUAAAAUUUAUUAGUCAAUCUU